rnacentral:rRNA from 1 species
AUGAUCAGCCGGUGGCCAAUGACGGAGACGACUGCGGCGGCGGCAACUGCGCCAAGGGAUGAGGCGGCCACUGCGACAAGGGAUCCGGUGUUCUCCUGGAACGGCGAGAGGGAAGGUACGGAGCAACCAACAUUGGACUGGCCCACUUCCUACAAGACUGAAGGUGAGCACUUCAUACGUUUGGCUCCUAUUGGGCGCCUGGCUUCAAGCACCAGGGAGAAGCUCCCUGGCACCCACACCAAGAUUGAUGCUGGCGGCCACAAAUUCACCAAGUCAAGGUCUUCCGUCUAUGAUAAUCAUAGGAUACGAGCGUUGAGGGACAUGGCCCAUUCAUACAUUCCGACCAUGCUAAUGGCCCCCAGCUUUAUGCUAAUCCUGCUCAUGGCUGUUUCAUCUCCUGCUCCGAGCAACUACACCGACCUUGCAGCGCUGCUGGCUUUCAGAUCACAGCUAUCCGAUCCUUUGGCCAUCGUUACAAAUAACUGGACAACCAAUGUGUCCUUUUGCAGCUGGAUCGGCGUGUCAUGCAGCCGUCGUCAUCAUCAGCGUGUCACCGCUCUAGAGCUGUCGGGCAUUCCACUCCAGGGAGAGCUCAGCCCUCACCUCGGUAACCUCUCUUUCCUCCACACCCUCAACCUAACAAACACAAACCUCGCCGGUUCCAUUCCAACCGAUCUUGGAAGAUUAGCUCGUCUUAGGUAUCUAGAUCUUGGCUACAAUAGCCUAUUGGAUACAAUCCCGUCUAUUGUGGGAAACCUCACCAGGCUACAGUUUCUAGUUCUAAAUUUCAACCAGCUCUCAGGGCAGAUCCCCAUUGAGGUGCGAAACAUGCAUAACCUUAGGUACCUCUCUCUAGAAAGAAAUUACAUUAGCCGCCUGGUACCAAAUUUUUCAUUUGAUGGCACGCCUUCACUAAGCCACAUAUACGUUCAGAACAACAGUCUCUCUGGGUCAAUACCAUCUUGUAUCGGCUCCUUGCUCAUGCUCCAGGUUGUUCAGUUGCAGCGUAACCAGCUCUCCGGUCAUGCACCUCUUACCAUAUUCAACAUGUCUAGGAUUGUGGACAUGCGUCUGGGGAUCAACAAUCUAACAGGCCACAUACCUAGUAAUAGAAGCUUUAGUCUCCCCAUGUUGCAGCUAACUGGACCAGUACCAUCAACACUUGGAAACAACAUUCAUCUUGUGUAUAUUGAUAUUCGAGAUAAUCAUCUCCAAGGGGAUCUUAGUUUCUUUGCCAGCCUUUGCAAUUGUCGGCAGCUGCAAACCCUUGCGAUAUCAAAUAAUCCUUUCUCUGGGGGUAUCCCCAGCUAUUUUGGUAACCUCUCGGCUAGCCUUGCAGCAUUUGAAGCAAAUAACAACCAUUUGGUUGGUGGGCUUCCAGCAACACUGUCCAAUCUUAGUGGUCUUCAUGGGAUAAGCAUUUCCGACAACUAUCUUACCAAAAAAAUACCAGAAUCCAUCUAUAAGUUGGAAAAUCUCCAGGCACUUGCUUUCUCUGGAAAUAGAAUUAUUGGCCCAAUCCCUGUACAGUUUGGUAUGCUGAGAAAUAUUGUAGUGUUAGAACUCCAGGACAAUAAAUUAUCUGGCUCCAUACCUGAUGCCAUGGGUAACCUUACCAUGUUAGAAUACAUAACAUUAUCUUAUAACCAUUUAUCUUCGAACAUACCAUCAAGCUUGUUUCAUGGUAACCUUAUCGGACUAGAUAUGUCCCAUAACUCCCUAACCGGUGCACUACCUUCUGAUCUGGACCACAUGCAAAACUCUUUUGGCCGCUUAACCAACUUAGCAACAUUGGACCUAUCAUCGAACAAUCUUUCAGGCACAAUACCAGACUACCUCGCGAACUUCACCUACCUUUCUUAUCUGAACCUCUCAUGUAAUAGGUUAGAAGGGCAAAUACCGAAUGAAGGUGUUUUCUCGAACCUAACCUUGCAAUCUUUGAUGGGAAAUGGUGGGCUAUGUGGUGCUCCUCGUCUAGGACUGCCAUCAUGUAUACAAAAAUCUCACCCGACUUAUGGUCGACACAUCCUCAAUUUUAUACUCCCGGUUGUCAUCAUUGGAGUUGGUGCAUUCGUCGCUCUCUUGUACCUAAUGAUCAGAAAUAAAAGCAAGAAGCAAUUAGAUGUUAUGACUUCUACUACCAUGACUGAUCUGAUCAGCCAUAGGUUAGUAUCCUACCAUGAAAUUAUUCGUGCAACUGAGAAUUUCAAUGAGGACAACCUACUUGGAGCCGGAAUUUUUGGCAAAGUUUUUAAAGGCAAACUAGAUGAUGGUUUGAUGGUUGCAAUAAAAGUGCUCGAUAUCCAAGUUGAGCAGGCCAUGAGGAGCUUUGAUACUGAAUGCCAGGUGUUGCGCAUGGCUCGGCAUCGCAACUUGAUACAUAUAUUGAAUGCAUGUUCCAACCUGGAUUUCAAGGCACUGUUGCUUCAGUACAUGCCGAAUGGUAGCUUGGAGAAACACUUGCAUGUUGAAACCAGGGAACCGCUAGGAUUCAUCGAAAGAUUGGAUAUUAUGCUUGGUGUGUCAGAGGCAAUGGAGUAUCUGCACCAUCAUCAUUUCCAAGUUGUCCUACACUGUGACCUGAAGCCUAGCAAUGUGUUGUUCGAUGACGACAUGACGCCACACGUUGCUGACUUUGGAAUUGCAAAGUUACUUCUACGUGAUGACAACUCCAUGGUUUCAGCAAGUAUGCCAGGGACAAUCGGGUACAUAGCCCCAGAACUUGCAUACAUGGGCAAGGCGUCACGAAAGACCGAUGUAUUCAGCUUUGGGAUCAUGAUGCUCGAAGUAUUCACAGGGAGGAGGCCCACGGAUCCCAUGUUCGUCGGUGAAUCAAGCCUUAGGCGGUGGGUUACACAGGCAUUUCCAGAAAAAUUAGUUGAUGUCAUGGAUGAGAAGCUACAGAAGGAUGAAGCAAUGCGCCUCGUCUACCAUCGCCAAACACUUGGUACUUCAGUGCCGUCAUUAUCCAUUACCUGCAAUACAAACUUUCUCAUGUCGACAUUUAAGCUGGGUCUAGAGUGCUCGAGCGGCUCUCCCGGCCAGAAGGCGAGCAUGAGCGAGGUGGUCGUGAGGCUGAAGAAAAUCAAGAAGGAUUAUUCUGCUUUCACCGCAGCAACUCAAAGCAGGACUGCCUAG